rnacentral:rRNA from 1 species
AUUGAACGCUGGCGGCAUGCCUUACACAUGCAAGUCGAACGGCAGCACGGGGCAACCUGGUGGCGAGUGGCGAACGGGUGAGUAAUGCAUCGGAACGUACCUUUCAGUGGGGGAUAACGUAGCGAAAGUUACGCUAAUACCGCAUAUUCUGUGAGCAGGAAAGCAGGGGAUCGCAAGACCUUGCGCUGAUUGAGCGGCCGAUGUCAGAUUAGCUAGUUGGUGAGGUAAAGGCUCACCAAGGCGACGAUCUGUAGCGGGUCUGAGAGGAUGAUCCGCCACCCUGGAACUGGGACACGGUCCAGACUCCUACGAGGGGCAGCAGUGGGGAAUUUUGGACAAUGGGGGCAACCCUGAUCCAGCCAUGCCGCGUGAGUGAAGAAGGCCUUCGGGUUGUAAAGCUCUUUCGGCCGGGAAGAAAUCGCACGGGCUAAUACCCUGUGUGGAUGACGGUACCGGAAUAAGAAGCACCGGCUAACUACGUGCCAGCCGCCGCGGUAAUAC